GGUAUUCCAGAAUUAGGGGCCAGCCUACGGAACCGCCACAAAGUGUCCCUGGCCGCCUACCCCACUAUACAUCCCCAAACCCGUGUGCACUGUCCUUGGAAAGGGCAUUUGGAGAGAAAAAGGAAGAGAAAAGCGAGAGCAGGUCCAUCCCUCACGUUUCGCGCUCAUCCCCGGCUCUGCUCUCUCUGACGCCCUUUCCUCGCCACAAACUCGA
rnacentral:misc_RNA from 1 species